AGAUACUGGACUUUCACCAUCUUUGGUACAGGUUUCAGCUGUUUAGUU
rnacentral:rRNA from 1 species